rnacentral:rRNA from 1 species
GAUGAACGCUGGCGGCGUGCCUAAUACAUGCAAGUCGAGCGAACAGACGAGGAGCUUGCUCCUCUGACGUUAGCGGCGGACGGGUGAGUAACACGUGGAUAACCUACCUAUAAGACUGGGAUAACUUCGGGAAACCGGAGCUAAUACCGGAUAAUAUAUUGAACCGCAUGGUUCAAUAGUGAAAGACGGUUUUGCUGUCACUUAUAGAUGGAUCCGCGCCGCAUUAGCUAGUUGGUAAGGUAACGGCUUACCAAGGCAACGAUGCGUAGCCGACCUGAGAGGGUGAGCGGCCAAACUGGAAUUGAGACCCGGUCCAGACUCCUACGGGAGGCAGCAGUAGGGAAUCUUCCGCAAUGGGCGAAAGCCUGACGGAGCAACGCCGCGUGAGUGAUGAAGGUCUUCGGAUCGUAAAACUCUGUUAUUAGGGAAGAACAAAUGUGUAAGUAACUAUGCACGUCUUGACGGUACCUAAUCAGAAAGCCACGGCUAACUACGUG